UUUAAAAGACAUUUUUCUAAAGAUGACAAAGGGAGAUGCUAUAUUAGGCUGUAAUUAAUAGAACAAGUUCUGCUGUGUUUUUAUCUGGGUGAUGCCAACCAGUGGCUCAGAGACAGCCCGUGACUACUGGUAAUUGGAAGUCUUGCUGCCACGACGUGACUGGCAAUGGCGCUGUGGUGGCCUUGAGAAUGCUGGUUUGCCUAAAGCCAUGCUGCACGAAGGGAUGAGCCCACAGCUGUGACUGAGUUCAACACCCCUACAUGGGUUCACCCUUCCACUCAUCUGCAUGCCUCGCCUGCCUGUCCAGCAGCUCCUGGGAAGCGUGCUGUCCUCACUGCUGGGAACUCAUUCCAGUCCUUCCUCCUUGUGGCUGUGUAUGUCAAGUCCAAAAGCCAGGCCUGCUCUCCUUGCUUCUGUUUUUUAGCACUAGCAGAGUUGAUUAUUGUGAUUUCUUGCCUCAGUGUACUCACCAUUUCCUCUUUCAGCUGAAAUUUUUCUAGCUGUCAUACUGAGGAGAUAAAAAGGGAAUUAAAAGCUAGUUGUAUUGCCCAGAAACAUGUUGUCUUCAUUUGUGGUGGCUGUACUGUUUUGAAAUCUGUUUUGUGACGUGUGUGAGACACCCACUUGCCACAUGGUUAUAAUAUAAAAAUGGGCAAGAUGAUGGCAUGAUGUGAGGACCUGCUGGGACCAGAAAUAAGCAUCUAUGGAAGGAUGGGAUGCUACAGCUUCCUCAAAAAUUUAUUGUAAACACUCAGGAUAUGCUUUCUAAACUCUCUUCUUAGCUGACCUUCAAAAGGAGAAGCCUGACACCUUUGACUUUCCCUGCCCAUCAAGAAAUGUUGAAAAAGUAAUUAAACGAAAGAAGAAAAAGUCCAAAGUCUGGCUUAAAGUCUGGAAAGUAAUUUCAAAAAUGCUUGAAGAAAAUGAAAAAUUCAGAAGUAGACUGUUGACUUGUAGUCAAUUUAAAGGAGAAGGCAAUGACAUGAAGCAAAGUUCACAGAAUGAGACAUUCUCCCUGGACAGGGAAGAGUCCAUCUUCGGUUGGGUAUAGCAAGAAAAUAAAGGAAGAUUCAAUCCAAAAGGAAAUAUAAAAGUAGUGAAAUUGUUUGUUAUGAUCUAGUUCUUAUUGGAACUGGUGGCAAGACUAUAAGUGGUUUCAGUGAACGCUGUUUUUCUGUUGUUUGUUUGGCACAUGUGUUUCUACUGUUCAAGAGUUUUGUUUUUAGAGUGGCUUAAACAGCUCUGUUGUGAAAUAUUUAUUUGAAGUCAUUAAGUCUAGUGUUUCACUUAGUUAUUAGAUUUGAAAGCUUUUUAAUGAGCAUAAUAUUAUGACAGUUUGCUUGCAAAAGAAUAGAGAUACACAUUUAAUGUUGACUGUGUAUUUUUAUUUUUAUUUUUUUUGUAGCUUGUCAGAAUCAUAAACAAACAUAAAUUCAGUAAAGCAGAACUCCACACAAGAUACAUAGAAACACUUUUGUUCCUAGUGAUUUGAAUAAUUUUGAUUUUAUUAUAUUAAAAUAACACAAUUAUCCUUCUGUUCAUUCAUCCAUUUAUACAUGAACCUCAGCAAGUAUUUUGAAUAUGAAACCAGGUGAAUGUUUUCUGCCUUACUGUUCAUCACGAAGCACGUAAUAAUAUCAUCAUAAUCAGAAGGUGCUGUUUAUCUAGCUGACUUCAAUAACACAAUAUAAUUUUCUUCUGUUAUGGAGUUUUAUAGUUGGAAUCUUGAUUGACUGUUAAAACCUUUUAAACUAGCUAAUUGUGUAAAUGGAACACGAAGACUGCAUAAAAAUAGUAUGUAUACAGAUUUCAUCUCUAUAGCUAAAACAUUCACCUGUCACAAUUAGACAUCUUCGGUUUCAAUAAAAGGAUGGUUUUCUCGUUG